rnacentral:lncRNA from 1 species
CAGAGGUCUCGUUCGUCACUCGCCCAGUGGGGACGGGUUUAAAUCACAUGCAAACAAAACUAUUUGGGCCUUGCUGCUUCAUACCCAUUGGAUCAUUCUGAUUGGAACAAAGGUGAGUGACAACCGUCGAUUAUGUUUACUUUUGCAGAAGAAUGGUUUUUUUCUAAUGAUGGUACGACUCUACUUGCUAACCGUUAGAUCUUGCGCUAGGAAUCUGGAGCGUUGUUUGGCAUUGUUGAGGGCAACUAGUGAAUGGACGGCUGGAAGGGUAGCGUGGAAAAUUAUUUUGUCUACCAUACCGGACCAGAUCAAUUUGCAAAUAUCUUAUGGCAAAAUUUAUUAGUCAAUACUAAAAUUGAAGUGUUCAAUUGUUAUUUUGAUUUGCCGAUUUUUCCAACUUCGUUUUAUCUUUUACUAUUAUUAAAUUUGAAUUUCGAAUGUAAAAAAAUAAAAGAAACUAAUCUUUUGAUAGACUGAUUUUUUUUUCUAUUUAAACAACUUGAUGACAUCAAGAUAUUUUUCUAUUUAUUUGUAAUAUUUUUCCAGUUUUUUUAUAUGAAAGGUUUCUUUUCAACUUUCUCUAAUAUUCU